UGACCUUUUAUUGUACGUACAACAUCAACUAGCACACGCAAGCAUACUGUUCUCAGGUUGGCAACGUGAAACGUGCAAAUGCACUAUGCUUCAUUCAUUUAACAGAAAAUCAAUAUAGCAGCAGUACAGGACUAUAGUUUAAACCCCAGAGUGCAGCCGAUCCUGGUGCCGAUCUGAACCAGACCAGAGAUGGAUCCUACUUGAGAGUCAGCAGCUCUGGGGAAUGGUGGUCGUGCCUCACCGACAAGAGAGACACGUCCACAAAUGAAAGUAGAAGAAAACACUGUGGGUUUUAGACGGCUCUCUUUUCACCUCCUCCUUUGAAAACAAAAACAACAACAACAACAAAACACCUCCACAAACCCAUCUCCACUUUUCUGGUGGCUUGUUUCUCAGUUGAAGUAGGAAGGGGAGCGCGACUUGGCCUGACUCCUCUGUUGCGCACGGAGAAGCCAUUGGAGAACACAGGUCAGUAGUGGUCAGUGCUUUGACAGGCUAUGGAGCCGAGUGAUAACAGACCCUUGCCCUCCCUUAGCUAACAACUGGCCCAGGGAUGUAGAUCACUCCUCACCAGCCCAUUAGCAUAGCUUCACAGGAGUGUCUUCACUUUUCUUUCCUUCUUUCUUUCUUUCUUAAGAUUGUCCUUGCAGAGCAGACUACCUGAUGCAUAGGAACGUCGUGAAAUGUUGACAAUUACAGAUGUUAAUCUGUUAAACUUAAAUUCAAUGACUAAAAUGGUCAAUAGCAUGAAUUACAAACAGAAAUACAGACACAUUAAACUGACCAGUUCAGUCAGAGUAGUUAAACCCUUGGGAAUGUGAAAGGAUAUUGCACCUACUAGUGGCCAGAUAGUGUAAGGAUCUUCAGUUAAACUAGGCCUUCUCUCUUUCUCUCUCUCUUUCUCUGUCUCUCUCUUUCUCUUGUUUCUCUCUGUCUUUCUCUUUCUCUCCCAAAAUAGAAGUGUGCCUCUGGUCUGAAAUGAGCAAUAUUGUGGCUGCACUGGCAUCCCAUAUCACAAAGGAGAACCUCUUUACACUGGCAAAGUGGGUGAAUACUGAAACAAGUAGGGCAGGCCUCACCGGAGACACAGUGGCAUAGUUAAAAACAAAAAACGGUGCUGUGAGUGCACCUUAAUACGUUUAGCAGAGG
ensembl:lncRNA